rnacentral:misc_RNA from 1 species
GAAAUGCGAUAAGUAAUGUGAAUUGCUGAAUUCCGUGAAUCAUCGAAUCUUUGAACGCACAUUGCGCCCUCUGGUAUUCCGGGGGGCAUGCCUGUCCGAGCGUCAUUGCGAACCCCUCAAGCACGGCUUGUGUGAUGGGCCCCCCCGCGUCUUGGUCGUCAAGACGGGCCCGAAAAGCAGUGGCGGCUUCGCGGUUAUCCGAUCAGCCAGAGCGUAUGGGGACUUUCUCUCUGUCACACGCCCGCGGCGCGGACCGACGCCUGUCGACCUUUAUUCAUCUUUUUCUCGGUUGACCUCGGAUCAGGUAGGGAUACCCGCUGAACUUAAGC